UUAGACUUCUCCUCACACCUCACAUCUCUCAUAGACAUCUUCUCUCUUUUUCUCUCUAAUUUUGAUUUCAAAAUUUGAAACUCCAUUCUCUCUCACACCUCUUCCUCUUCUUAUAACACAUCUUCUUUCCACCGAACUUUCUCUCUCUAAGUGAUCUCCGGUGGUGAUUUCUACCAUUUUGCUCCAACGGAAUAUAGUCCUGUUGAGAGGGGGUGAUUUUUACCAUCUGCAUCAAUGUUUGCCUCCUCUCUCUCUACACAGCUCCAAGGAAAUAAUUGAAGUAAUUCUGAUUAUGCUUUUAUGAGAUCAUCCAACUAAUUGAAGCACCAUUAUGUUUUCUGCUUCAUAUGAUGGAGCGACUUCGACGGCGACAAUCGAGCAGACUAAGGUUGUGGGUAUUUGUCUUGGUCUUGCUGGCCCUGUUUCAAUGUCUUGGUCCUGCUGGCUCUGUUCAAGGAUAUCCCAAACAGGUGAAGGGAAAGAUACUAUCAGAUUGGAUAAAGGGGGAACACUAGGAAAAUUGGAAGCUUACUAUGGGAUGUUAUCUUCAAUGGAUGUAAGAAAAUUGUUAAAGUAGAAGAGCUUAUUGUUUGUUUUCUCACAUGACAAUGGACAUAGCUAAGCUGCAGGAUGUGUCAAGUCCAUGGAGGGAGCAUUGGUGAACAUAGUUUUAAAGCAAGACAACUUUAUACGACAAUGUCAUUUAAGCUAAAACGUCUGUUGGUCACAUAUAGAAGAUGGUUUUUAAUUGGUUGUCUCUUUUCAAUGUUAAUUAACUCUCAAUUACAUCAAUCUAA